AUACCUUUCUCGGCCUUUUGGCUAAGAUCAAGUGUAGUAUCUGUUCUUAUCAGUUUAAUAUCUGAUACGUGGGCCAUCGGCCCACACGAUAUUAAAUUAAUUUUUCCAGGGUGAGUUCCCAUCACGGCAGCUAGCUGCUGGGGUUCUCGAGCGUCGCCUGUGUUUUGCACUACAGCACUGGCCUGGCGCACCCUCC
rnacentral:snRNA from 1 species